UCUUCUUCUCUAACCUCUUCACAUGUCAUCUUUAAAAGUUCUCUCCUCACCUUCUUUUCUCUGUUAUAGUCUCCGCCCAGAUUGACAUCUACUAACCUUACCCAAUCACGCAUCUCUCUCAAAUCCGGCUGAGUUUGAAUUCCAGGGAGAAGUAUACAGGGAAUCGAAUCAUUCGAGUGGGUGUUUUUUUUUGCACAAUACGAUUGUCCAGCGAGAGAACUAGCGGAAGACAUGUUGUGAAGAUGUUACGAAAUUUGAUAUCAUUAUAUUACUAUCUCAAGUUUUGAUUUACUGACUUAGAGAAACAUAGAGUGGAUGAGUGUAAAAGCAGAUGUGAGAGGCUCUGGUAACGAUCAAAAGCUGAGCACACCUAGGUCUAAACAUUCUGCUACGAAGAAGGAGCAAGAUCAAUGAUAGGGUUAUCGAGUAUAUUCAAUUCUUACCGGAGAAAGCAGACAAGUAUGAAACCUCUUACCAAGGAUGGAACCACGAACCUGCAAAGCUAUUGAAUUGGAGAAACAAUCAACAGCUGGUACCUGAGGGAACCGUCGCUUUUACUCCAAAAUUGGAAGAAGAGAAGAACAACGUUCCGGUACCGGUACUUCCGUACUUGCAACAACACAAGGUAUUGUUAUCGAUCAUCCGACAGCCGCAACAUAUGUCAGGACGAUGAGGACGAAAAUUGGUCAAGCUCCAAGGCACAUAUGUUUCGCUAGAGAUAAACGACUGAUGCUGAGCUACGGUGGUGCAAGUAAGUAUCCAAUAUCGAACAAACAAGAUGUCUCUGAAGACUAUGCACAGUUUUACUAAAUAUCAUACACAUUUAGUAGUAAUACGAAUCUCAAUGAAAGUUUUGUGACUCAGUUCUUUAAAUCCCUUUUUGAUUCAAAUAGUGACUCAAGCAAAAAUACAACAUUGGAGCUUGGAGGUCUUCCC